AUGCCUUUCUCGGUCUUUUGGCUAAGAUUAAGUGUAGUAUCUGUUCUUAUCAGUUUAAUUUCUGAUAAGUAGACUAUCGGAUCGCAUGGUAUUAAAUUAAUUUUUUUGGGUAGAAGAUCCAUUACAGUAGCUUUCUAUUGGGGUCUUAAGCGUUUUCUUUGCGUUGUAUUAUUGCAAAGUUUGGCAUACUCUUA
rnacentral:snRNA from 1 species